AGUGAACGCUGGCGGUAGGCCUAACACAUGCAAGUCGAACGGCAGCACAGUAAGAGCUUGCUCUUACGGGUGGCGAGUGGCGGACGGGUGAGGAAUACAUCGGAAUCUACUUUUUCGUGGGGGAUAACGUAGGGAAACUUACGCUAAUACCGCAUACGACCUACGGGUGAAAGCAGGGGAUCUUCGGACCUUGCGCGAUUGAAUGAGCCGAUGUCGGAUUAGCUAGUUGGCGGGGUAAAGGCCCACCAAGGCGACGAUCCGUAGCUGGUCUGAGAGGAUGAUCAGCCACACUGGAACUGAGACACGGUCCAGACUCCUACGGGAGGCAGCAGUGGGGAAUAUUGGACAAAGGGCGCAAACCUGAUCCAGCCAUACCGCGUGGGUGAAGAAGGCCUUCGGGUUGUAAAGCCCUUUUGUUGGGAAAGAAAAGCAGCAGGUUAAUACCCCGCUGUUCUGACGGUACCCAAAGAAUAAGCACCGGCUAACUUCGUG
rnacentral:rRNA from 1 species